AUUGAACGCUGGCGGAAUGCUUUACACAUGCAAGUCGAACGGCAGCACGGACUUCGGUCUGGUGGCGAGUGGCGAACGGGUGAGUAAUGUAUCGGAACGUGCCCAGUCGUGGGGGAUAACGUAGUGAAGAUUACGCUAAUACCGCAUACGAUCUAUGGAUGAAAGCGGGGGAUCGCAAGACCUUGCGCGAUUGGAGCGGCCGAUAUCAGAUUAGGUAGUUGGUGGGGUAAAGGCCCACCAAGCCAACGAUCUGUAGCUGGUCUGAGAGGACGACCAGCCACACUGGAACUGAGACACGGUCCAGACUCCUACGGGAGGCAGCAGUGGGGAAUUUUGGACAAUGGGCGAAAGCCUGAUCCAGCCAUUCCGCGUGCAGGAUGAAGGCCCUCGGGUUGUAAACUGCUUUUGUACAGAACGAAAAGGUUUCUACUAAUACUAGGAGCUCAUGACGGUACUGUAAGAAUAAGCACCGGCUAACUACGUGCCAGCAGCCGCAGUAA
rnacentral:rRNA from 1 species